GACGAACGCUGGCGGCGUGCCUAAUACAUGCAAGUCGAGCGAUGAAGCUUGGUGCUUGCUCGAAGUUGGAGAGCAGCGAACGGGUGAGUAACGCGUGGGGAAUCUGCCCUUGAGCGGGGGACAACCUUUGGACACGAAUGCUAAUAGCGCAUAACAACUUUCAACAUAAGUGUUAAGUUUGAAAGAUGCAAUUGCAUCACUCAAAGAUGAUCCCGCGUUGUAUUAGCUAGGUGGUGAGGUAAAGGCUCACCAAGGCGAUGAUACAUAGCCGACCUGAGAGGGCGAUCGGCCAGAUUGGGACCGAGACGAGGCCCAUACGCCCACGGGAGGCAGCAGUAGGGGAACUUCGGCAAUGGACGAAAGUCUGACCGAGCAACGCCGGGGGAGUGAAGAGAGGGAUCGGAUCGUAAAGCUCUGUUGGUAGAGAAGAACGUUGGUGAGAGUGGAAAGCUCAUCAAGUGACGGUAAUUAGCCAGAAAGCGACGGCUAACUACGUG
rnacentral:rRNA from 1 species